CUUGUCCACACAGCUCCCUCUCGGCCUGGUGGUCUUUGUCCAUUCUGCUACUGUGGCCAUAUAGGAUCAGUUUUCCAGACUCAGCCUCUGGGAUCUCACAUCAACCCAGACCCACGGACCCCAACGUGGCGCGUCCUGCACCCCACGGGUGUGGCCUGGCGGCCCUCCUCCCAAGCACUAUGUUCAGGCUGAGUGGAGACUCUCGCUAGCAAUGUGCAGGCUGCUAAGCAGAUGCGACCCAGUGACAGCUUGCACCUCAGGCCUUGCUCCUUGAGCUCCUUGCUCCGUGCGCUUUUCUCAAAACACGAUCCUCUUUAUCUUCAGAAUCGCAAAAGCGCUGCAGGGACUGGCGAGGCUCCACCACCUCGCAGAAGCCAACAGCACGGGCGGCCCGGGAACGCCCUCCCACCCACCUCCUGGGUGACCGUCAGCACCGCGGCCCGCAGAGCGCGCGAGCCCAGGGGCCCAACUGAGCCCCGCCACCAGAUGGGAUCCUGCUCUGCCUCGCGUGGCCACCGCGUGGGCCUCUCCCGCGCCCGCGCAGCCCGCCCCCUUCCCGGCGGCGGCCGCGGCGUCCAGGCCCGGCACGUGGCGUCGGCUGCGCAUGCGCGGGCUCGGGGCCUUGCCGGCGUCUCCGCGCAGACCAGGGAAGCAGGGUCCGGCGGGGCGGUGGCUGAGUGGCUCCGCAUGGGCCCCGGAAGCGCUGCGGGGAGGUGGGACUCGGCCUGACCGGGGGAAGCAGGGUCCGGUGGGGCGGUGGCGGAGUGGCUCCGCAUGGGCCCCGGAAGCGCUGCGGGCCACAGGUGCAGCAGUGUCCUGGGUCCAGGCUCACCUCUGUGGAACCAUCCUGCUGCUCACCCCAGGGCCCGGGGGACAUGUGUGCUUUCUCGCAGGAAGAGAGUGUACUGGGCAGAUAAAGCUGGAAAACGCAAAGAAGCUCAAAGUAAAGAAGCCAAAGCAGAAAAAUCAGGGAAGAUGGGGUGAAGACCAGCAGUGCUUGAGAGAAGAAAAUAAAUUCUCCAUUUCAAAAGAAAAUCCAGGGCGGAACGAUCCUAUUGUUAGUGAAAAACUCUGCUGAAGUGCCAGCCAGAGGUGUGGGAGUAUAGCCUGAGAGGCCCUGUUCCACGUGGGGUGUGAGUGACACCUCCCAGACGCGCAUGGCAGCAGGAGCUGGAGGGGCCAGCCUGCUUCUCUGUCUGUGACAGAGUUUACAACUGUGUCCUCCAGAGACCAGCAGACGCCUCAGGCUGGCAUUGCUGGGCUCCUGUGCCCAGUGCUGGUUCAGACCUUUCAGCCACUCAGGGAUGCCCUGUGGACCUGCCUCCAGCAGGGCUCUGCCAGGUCCGGCAUGGGGGUGACCCUGGCUGCCAGCGGGCUUGUGGGCUCUGCCUCUCAGCAUGUGGCUCUGCCCAGCAAGGGUAAGCUCCCUGGGAAGGACUGGCUGGUGCCUGCAGUGUGGUGCGUGUCUGUGUUUGGGAAUCGGGACCUGUCUAUGGGGAGUCUCCCACGGGUACCUUUCUUUUUUUUUUCGAGACAGAGUCUCACUCUGUCGCCCAGGCUG